rnacentral:rRNA from 1 species
CCUGCGGAGGGAUCAUUGCUGG